rnacentral:rRNA from 1 species
UACGUAGGGACCGAGCGUUGUCCGGAUUCAUUGGGCGUAAAGAGCUCGUAGGCGGCUGUUCAAGUCGAACGUGAAAUCUCGAGGCUCAACUUCGAGCUGUCGGUGGAAACUGUCUGGCUAGAGUCCGGAAGAGGAGAAUGGAAUUCCUGGUGUAGCGGUGAAAUGCGCAGAUAUCAGGAAGAACACCCGUGGCGAAGGCGGUUCUCUGGGACGGUACUGACGCUGAGACGCGAAAGCGUGGGGAGCGAACAGG